rnacentral:rRNA from 1 species
GAUGAACGCUGGCGGCGUGCCUAAUACAUGCAAGUCGAGCGAACGGACGAGAAGCUUGCUUCUCUGAUGUUAGCGGCGGACGGGUGAGUAACACGUGGAUAACCUACCUAUAAGACUGGGAUAACUUCGGGAAAUCGUAGCUAAUACCGGAUAAUAUUUUGAACCGCAUGGUUCAAAAGUGAAAGACGGUCUUGCUGUCACUUAUAGAUGGAUCCGCGCUGCAUUAGCUAGUUGGUAAGGUAACGGCUUACCAAGGCAACGAUGCAUAGCCGACCUGAGAGGGUGAUCGGCCACACUGGAACUGAGACACGGUCCAGACUCCUACGGGAGGCAGCAGUAGGGAAUCUUCCGCAAUGGGCGAAAGCCUGACGGAGCAACGCCGCGUGAGUGAUGAAGGUCUUCGGAUCGUAAAACUCUGUUAUUAGGGAAGAACAUAUGUGUAAGUAACUGUGCACAUCUUGACGGUACCUAAUCAGAAAGCCACGGCUAACUACGUG